rnacentral:lncRNA from 1 species
GGUUUUUAAUUUUUUCUCCCCCUGCCUCUGAAUUGUUUCUUGGGCAUUUUUCACUCCAACCAGAGGGUACAUUUUUUGGCAGGAGGGGCUGUGCCAGCCUGCCCCUUUGACUCACCAUAGCACAGAAUGUCGUCACCUCCACUUAUUUCAAUUGAUGCUCCUGAAGAAACAGUAUCUUUUUAUUCCCUCCUGGAGCUCCCCUUUUCCCUAUGCUUGGGCCCUGUGUCUUGAAGGGGGCUCACCUUCCUGAGCUCUGUGAUUGAUUAUGUGAUCCAGGUCUGGACAAUCAGAGCAUUCCAUUCCAUUCUCAGAUUAUUGAUUGGUUAGGAGACAACCACAUGACCUGAGCUUAGCCAAUGAGAGGCAGUCCCUGAACUUUAGGGGAAUUAACAGGAGAUUUGGGCUGGACCUGAAAGAUAUAAAAGACAUAAACCAAGGAGGUACUAGGCCACCCUGUGGAGGGAGUCUGAGGAUGAAGCCUACUUCUACUGAGGACAAGAGAGCUGCCAUGAGGUGGAAAGAGAUGUGUGCCUGACAAUAGCUGAGCUCUGGAUCCAGCCUUCCGGAUCACCUGCUGUCAUCUGGCUUUUUCAGGGACACUUGCUCUUGGAAUGGAGCCGCCUUGUUGUGAGGAAGCCCAGUCCAUGGGGAAUGGCAUAUGUAGGUGUGCUGGCUGACAAUCCAGUUGAGGUCCCAGGCAACAGCCGGCGUUGGCCACCAGACAGGUGCAGCGAAUCAUGUUUGAGAGAUGAAGCCACGCAGGGAGCCUUGCUUUCUGGCUGAGACCUUCCAAGCCAGCAGCCUCUGAGAUCAUCCAGGUUCAGUGUGCCUGCCCGUCAGCUGGUGCUGUAACGAAGCCUUCACUCCUGCGCUUUGCUUGGAGAAUUGCCUUUAGAUGCCUGGAGCUCCUUCCUGGAAGUGGCUUGGACUUGCAUCUUCCUCCCCCAAAUGCCUUGGGAGUGACCUGUAGCCAUGUGGGGGUACAGAAGUUCUGUUCCCUUGCCUUGAAGUGGGACAGACUCUGAAGAGCAAUUUAAACUCCAGAGCUUUCUGGGGAUAAGCCUGGGUCAAGACCGCACCUGCAACCCCAUCCUCGAGUAGCUUUUCUGCCUGCCCUGGUCCCCAUCCCUUGGUCCCUUCUAGGUGUCACCUGAGAGCCUUCUCUCAAUAAAUCACUUGCAUAAGAAUUCUCUUCACAGGCUCUGCUUCUAGAGAAACUACCAAAACUUCCCAAAGACAGACAAACGUUUGGAAAUGAACUGACCAUGAGAUAAACCCUUGGAAAUGAACUGACCAUGUAACCAUAAAUUGGGACUAAACACCCUGUUUUGAUCAAGCAUUUCCACGGUCUUCUCAACAGGCCAAGAAAAUGUCUUGGAGAUUCAGAAACAGCGGUCAGAUGUUACUGACAAUUGUUAGUAGGUCUAGGACAGGGCCUGGCAUGGAGUAAGGUGUUUAAUAAAUAUUUGCUGAGUGAAAAGCCUGAAUGAGUAAACAUUGCUGGUGCUGGGGAGGUGGGGGUUUCUGGAAAGAGAGAAUGUAGAACAGCCUUCCUGGGGCGGAUCCCCAGGAAACACGCAGGCUCAGGAACCAGGCUGGGCACAUUGAAAUGCGGGGUCAGGUGCUCAGAUAUUCAUAGCUCCAUCAGAGGCUUAGCCUAAGAGGCUGCAAGCCCCAGAGGAGUGCACAGACCCAGGAGGUAGUCGUGAUCACAGCAAAGAAUACAAGAUCUUGUUAAACAGAAAUCCCUCCUGGCAGAUGGUCAGCUGGCUCCCGGGACCCAGACAUGGGAAGGAAAGCCGUUUCCUACUGGGAAUUCCAGAAGCCUUGAAACCAGGGGAGGACAUUAUGCCUUCAUGACUUAAAACAACCAUCAUGAUGAUGAUAAAAAUGGCAAAGCAAUUAUCCAAUGGUGGCUAUAGCCAGGACUCGGCAUGUAGGAUGGUAUAGAAGCCUCCCAAUAACCCCUGCAAGAUACACACUGCCAUUCCCAUUUCACAGAUGAAGAAACCAAGGCUCAGUUAAGGAAAAUGAUGUGUCCAAGGUCACACUGCCAACAGGCGGUAGUUGAACCCAGGUAGCGUGACAGUAAAGCCUCAGCAUUGUGGCAGGUGCUGAUUUAAGAGGAUAGUAGGGAAAGGGCUGGGUCCAACUGAGGCAUAAAAAUUAUACAAAUGGAUGGUGAGUGGAGCUGGGAGGGGUACUGGGGGGCCGGGGGAGGUGGGGAUGGUUACCGGAUAUGAAGAGAAAAAUAGAAAGAACGAAUAAGACCUAGUAUUUGAUAUCAUAACAAGGUGACCAUAGUCAAUACGACUUUAAUUGUACGUU